UAGUGGCGCACGGGUGCGUAACACGUAACUAACCUACCUAUAACUGGGGGAUAGCCCGCCGAAAGGCGGAUUAAUACCGCAUAAGCUGCUUGAGUGGCAUCACUCGAAUAGUAAAGAUUUAUUGGUUAUAGAUGGGGUUGCGGGUCAUUAGCUAGUUGGUAAGGUAACGGCUUACCAAGGCGACGAUGACUAGGGGAGCUGAGAGGCUGGUCCCCCACACGGGCACUGAGAUACGGGCCCGACUCCUACGGGAGGCAGCAGUAGGGAAUAUUGGGCAAUGGGCGAGAGCCUGACCCAGCCAUGCCGCGUGCAGGAAGAAGGCUUUCUGAGUCGUAAACUGCUUUUGACAGGGAAGAAUAAGCACUACGUGUAGUGCGAUGACGGUACCUGCAGAAUAAGCACCGGCUAACUCCGUGCCAGCAGCCGCGGUAAUACGGAGGGUGCGAGCGUUGUCCGGAUUUAUUGGGUUUAAAGGGUGCGUAGGCGGCCCGUUAAGUCCGGGGUGAAAGCCCGUUGCUCAACAACGGAACUGCCCUGGAUACUGACGGGCUUGAGUACAGACGAGGUUGGCGGAAUGGACCGAGUAGCGGUGAAAUGCAUAGAUACGGUCCAGAAC
rnacentral:rRNA from 1 species